rnacentral:lncRNA from 1 species
UUUAGUUGUCCACUUUAGAAAUGGCACACAGAUUAAGGCAACAAUGAUUAACACAGUGAAGUUACAAUUUUACCCUUAUGACAACUUUUCACUUCAAAAUUACAACCACUUCUUUGAAUUCAAGUGAAAUAAAUUGGAGGGAAACAACAUACACUUUUUAGAAAUUUUCAAGAAGUGUAAAUAAGGGUAUAAUAGGAAAAAAAUUGUUGUCCUUUCUUGAUUUGUCAAAAUGGACAACUAAAUAGGGACAACUAAAAAAGGAAAUAUGGACAACUAAAUAGGGACGGAGGGAGUA